UGGGGGGGUUCCCAAUCCAGGACAAAAAAAGGGGUGUGUGGGUUCCAAUCACAUGAACCCAUUCAAAUGCAUCGAUCGUCCAAAAAAUAAAAAGCGGAACCCGCCCCCUGGAUCCGCCACUGAUGAGGGUAAUUAAUUUAAGUAAAUUCUGAUUUUUAGCCGUCACUCUCAACCUCAACUGAAGGAUCGAUAUAUAUAUAAACCUUGACACGAUGAGUUCAGUUGUUGUCUUUGGUUCGUGUGUUCGUAAAUAGUGUACCCAUAAAUUAGGACGUUUUUCUCGUAGGAGUUAAUCAAUUUUUUUUUUAUGUCAGGUCAUUUCAAAGCUGACUUUAUAGUAUUUGAACUUUGUUGGAUAGUUAUCUCAUUGACAAUCAAACCGCUACCUCCAUUUUUUAUUCAAGUUUUGUGGAUCCUCAAUGCCCUUCAACUUUGUGCUAGUUUG
rnacentral:lncRNA from 1 species